ACAGUUUCAACCACAAAUCAACAUUGAAUAUAUCUCAGGCCUUUCUUUUUUCAGAGUCUGUGAUAGCCAGCAGCCUGAAAAAGCUAGUAAGAGUUCCUAGCUUGCUCUGGGCAAAGGACAAGUACUUUUUUCUGGGAAAUGGUCCCUUACUGGAUCCAGGAAUAGCAGUCUUGUCACUGUCCUUUUGCUACUGGAAUUGUCCUUGCCUUCCUAGGGGGGGAGGGGACGUCUGCUGAUUGUGCCUCAAGUCUCCAUGAUAUAGAGUGAACUUGCCUGUUCAUGUUCUGUCACAGCUGCCUGAAGCCACAGGUGGCUCCAUUCCUUGCCCAGGCAAAGGGAAGCUGCCCUUUCUGGUUAGACUCCCUACAAAACCUAUAGCUCCUGACACCUUCUAGGUACCUUUUAUUCAAACAAGUUUUCCCUUUCUUCUAAAACUGAGAGCUAACCCUGAAGGAAAUGUGUGUACCUCUCUGAAAUGGAAACUUAUGGGUUCUUUGGACAGUCAGUUGUGUUGCAUGGUGUUUGUCUAAGGCAAACAAAUGAAAGAACAUUUUACUGAAGCUGACACAGGUGAAAGGAUGUUCUGCUAAACAAGCACAUGAAAGAAUGAUGUGUGAUGAGGGACUCUUCACUAAUGAAAUAUGUGUGUUUGUCUGCCUUACAUUUUGUAGUUAGACUUUGUUUGUUGGGAAUCUAUGGGGAGAAACUCACUGGAGAACUUCUGGUGGUGUCCUUUGGCUU
rnacentral:lncRNA from 1 species